UACGUAGGGGGCAAGCGUUGUCCGGAUUUAUUGGGCGUAAAGAGCGUGUAGGCGGCUUUACAGGUCCGUUGUGAAAACUCGAGGCUCAACCUCGAGACGCCGGUGGAAACCGUAAAGCUAGAGUCCGGAAGAGGAGAGUGGAAUUCCUGGUGUAGCGGUGAAAUGCGCAGAGAUCGGGAGGAACACCAAUGGCGAAAGCAGGUAACUGGACCAUUACUGACACUCAGCUGCGAAAGCUAGGGGAGCAAACAGG
rnacentral:rRNA from 1 species